rnacentral:rRNA from 1 species
UUGGAGGGCAAGUCUGGUGCCAGCAGCCGCGGUAAUUCCAGCUCCAAUAGCGUAUAUUAAAGUUGUUGCAGUUAAAAAGCUCGUAGUUGAAUUUCGGGAUUAGUACGUUGGUCGUGCCUUCGGUACGUACUGGUGUUACUGAUUCCUACCUUCUGACGAACCAUCAUGUCAUUAAUUUGGUGUGGUGGGGAAUCAGGACUGUUACUUUGAAAAAAUUAGAGUGUUUAAAGCAGGCUCGCGCUUGAAUACGUUAGCAUGGAAUAAUGAAAUAGGACGUUGACCCUAUUUUGUUGGUUUCUAGGAUUGACGUAAUGAUUAAUAGGGAUAGUUGGGGGCAUUAGUAUUCAAUUGUCAGAGGUGAAAUUCUUGGAUUUAUUGAAGACUAACUACUGCGAAAGCAUUUGCCAAGGAUGUUUUCAUUAAUCAAGAACGAAAGUUAGGGGAUCGAAGACGAUCAGAUACCGUCGUAGUCUUAACCAUAAACUAUGCCGACUAGGGAUCGGAUGAUGUUAAUUUUUUAAUGACUCAUUCGGCACCUUACGGGAAAC